rnacentral:rRNA from 1 species
GAUGAACGCUAGCGGCAGGCCUAAUACAUGCAAGUCGAACGGGAUCCAUUUGUUAGCUUGCUAACAGAUGGUGAGAGUGGCGCACGGGUGCGUAACGCGUGAGCAACCUACCCAUAUCAGGGGGAUAGCCCGAAGAAAUUCGGAUUAACACCGCAUAAGACUACGAGAUGGCAUCAUCAAGUAGUUAAAUAUUUAUAGGAUAUGGAUGGGCUCGCGUGACAUUAGCUAGUUGGUGAGGUAACGGCUCACCAAGGCGACGAUGUCUAGGGGCUCUGAGAGGAGAAUCCCCCACACUGGUACUGAGACACGGACCAGACUCCUACGGGAGGCAGCAGUAAGGAAUAUUGGUCAAUGGACGGAAGUCUGAACCAGCCAUGCCGCGUGCAGGAUGACUGCCCUAUGGGUUGUAAACUGCUUUUGUCGAGGAAUAAACCUAUCUACGUGUAGAUAGCUGAAUGUACUCGAAGAAUAAGGAUCGGCUAACUCCGUGCCAGCAGCCGCGGUAAUACGGAGGAUCCGAGCGUUAUCCGGAUUUAUUGGGUUUAAAGGGUGCGUAGGCGGUACUUUAAGUCAGGGGUGAAAGACGGCAGCUUAACUGUCGCAGUGCCUUUAAUACUUGAAGUGCUUGAAUGCGGUUGAAGACGGCGGAAUGAGACAAGUAGCGGUGAAAUGCAUAGAUAUGUCUCAGAACACCGAUUGCGAAGGCAGCUGUCUAAGCCGUUAUUGACGCUGAUGCACGAAAGCGUGGGGAUCGAACAGGAUUAGAUACCCUGGUAGUCCACGCCCUAAACGAUGAUAACUCGAUGUUUGCGAUAUACAGUAAGCGUCCAAGCGAAAGCGUUAAGUUAUCCACCUGGGGAGUACGCCCGCAAGGGUGAAACUCAAAGGAAUUGACGGGGGUCCGCACAAGCGGAGGAGCAUGUGGUGUAAUUCGAUGAUACGCGAGGAACCUUACCCGGGCUUGAAUUGCAGAGGAAAGAUCCAGAGAUGGUGAUGCCCUUCGGGGCCUCUGUGAAGGUGCUGCAUGGUUGUCGUCAGCUCGUGCCGUGAGGUGUCGGCUUAAGUGCCAUAACGAGCGCAACCCCUUUCUUUAGUUGCCAUCAGGUAAUGCUGGGCACUCUGGAGAUACUGCCACCGUAAGGUGUGAGGAAGGUGGGGAUGACGUCAAAUCAGCACGGCCCUUACGUCCGGGGCUACACACGUGUUACAAUGGCCGGUACAGAGAGACGGUUGCUUGCAAAAGUAAUCAAAUCCUUAAAACCGGUCCCAGUUCGGACUGGGGUCUGCAACUCGACCCCACGAAGCUGGAUUCGCUAGUAAUCGCGCAUCAGCCAUGGCGCGGUGAAUACGUUCCCGGGCCUUGUACACACCGCCCGUCAAGCCAUGAAAGCCGGGGGUGCCUGAAGUCCGUGACCGCAAGGAUCGGCCUAGGGCAAAACUGGUAAUUGGGGCU